AAAACGACUCUCGGCAACGGAUAUCUCGGCUCUCGCAUCGAUGAAGAACGUAGCGAAAUGCGAUACUUGGUGUGAAUUGCAGAAUCCCGUGAACCAUCGAGUCUUUGAACGCAAGUUGCGCCCCAAGCCUUUAGGCCGAGGGCACGUCUGCCUGG
rnacentral:rRNA from 1 species